GCCCCCGACGACCUGCUCCUCCAUUGGCUCCCCACCUCGGAUCCAGCCGCCGGGGUGAGCUCCGGGCUGACGGUACCAGGAAAGUCCAUUCCCUUUGGUUUUUUCGAGUAGCCAUUUAGGCAUGUGGCACGGUGUAAUCAUACUAAGGAGUUAUCAUGCAAAAUUAGCAUAUAUAGAUAGAUGUGAACUGGUAUCACUUUUAUUGAAAAUCAUCCUUAGAAAAUCCUGUAGCACACACUGAAAGUCUUGCUCUUUACAUUGCAACAUGUAAAAAAUCCUUGAUAUUGUUUGUUAUUCAUAUGUUCAUCUUGCUGAUUUAGGUUUCUGGAGUUCAAGGGGAUGGUUGGUUGCUGCAGAUCGGCGCUGAAAUCGAAACAACAGGACAAGGCUGAUGCGGAGACGACAAAGUGUACACGCAGAUGACGCUGCGGCCACUGAACCCGGAUUUCACAUAGAAGCCUCCUUCUCAGGAACUCAUUACACAGGAUAUCCGUGCUUAAUUCUCUUUGCUUCUUGUUGGGGUGUUGCGCCUUUACUCCCAAAUUUUUACAGUUGUCUGCUCAUAGGUACCGAGCUGGGUGAUGAAGCACUUUAGGCACUGUACUUGCAAGCUCACCCGUAUGGCGAGUGGCUCCAGAGACAGAAGAUGUACCUAGAAGACAUUGUAGAAUCUGUCCCAAAAACUGACAAAGGUUUGUUUCAGGUGUUUUCUGCUAGGCUCUAAGUUGUUAUUUUGAGGUGUGUUUCAGGUGUUUUCUGUAGGCUCUAAGUUAUUAAAUUGUUGGAAGUUGAGGGCAAGGAAAAAAUCAUGAAAGAAAAAUUGAGCAGCACUAUGGAAACCAAGUCUUUGAAAAAGUUGUUAGAAGAUUGGUUGGUCUAUAUGGCUAAAGGUAUACACGGUUUACUGUUGGAAAAUGGUUUACGCGGUUUAGUGAUGAAAAAUAAAGACGGCGAUGGUUGUGAGGGGUCAUAUGCUAAUCUAAUCAGCUGCACAUGAAGACGCAAUUCAAGUCUUGAAGGAUUGAGUUACCAAAUGGGAGCCGGAAUAACCACCAAUUGGUGGAAAUCAUGGAAUGGAGAAGUUGAGCUAAAGGGUUGAGUUGAUUUUGAAUGGCUGGCAUAGGAAACGUUAUCCGUAGUCCUGCACUUUUGGCCCUCUCAUGUCGACAUGCAGUCACUAUGAGUACCUUCCGAGGUU